GAUAGCGGGCAGCGAGGCGGAAAUUACCGAAGCAGCAGUUGGAGAAGAGGAAUCAACCGAAACAAGCGGAACGAGGUGCCACUGGGACUUGUGCCCAGGACAGGGACCAGUAAAUAUUCGGGUGUGAGUUGUCAGGGAAAGGCACGGUCUCCCGAAUGAAACCACUCGGCCCGCGGCCCUGCCUGGCCGCCUGGGAAACCCCGGCGCUGCCGGUCACAUGAUCACAUUCUCGCGCCUCAUCCGACGACGCUUGCGGCGCCGUUUGAAUUUGCUCGCCGGGCAGCUUCCACUUUACCAUCAUUCGUGAAUAUCAAUUUUUUUUGUCAACGCCCAGAUCUCAUUAGCGGAUUUUUAUUUGUUUUCGACCCUGAACGAGGGCAAACGGACCCUCCCGCGCAUGGAGCAGUGGGACUCACGUGAUGGAAAUGACGCUGGCGGCCGUUUGCUCGGGGCGUGGUGCGGCGGGAGACCGAUGGUCACGUGACACGGAGGCAGCUGACGUCAGCGAAUCCCACCGCGGGGGCAACAACUACACUUGCUUACUGAGUAGCGCCUAAAUGCGAGCGGCAUUUCCCGUGUAUUGUUAGACUUCAGAAUCUGGGUGUUGCUGGAUCCUCCUUGAACUGCUGUAGUCCCGGUAAAUCUGAAGUCGAUUGGCAGCCAUCAAACGGAAAGCUGUGGUCAAGGCACCCAUGCUCGUAUUGUUGGGGUUCAGCCCUGGGAAAUUGCUGCUGGAGUUUCUCCAAGCACUGUUCUAGACCCAACUACCUGUUUCAACAAAAGUGGGGAUAUUCGCUGAUGACUGCACACUGUUCAUUUGCAUUUGCAGCUCCUUAGAAAACAAAGCAGUUUAUGCCUGCACAUGGCAAGACUGAGACAACACACAAGCAUGGGCUGAUGUGCCAAGUCACAUCUGUGUCACUCAAGUGCCAGACAGUGACUAUCUCCAGCACGAGAGAGUCUAACCACCUACUCUUAUCGCUGAGACCCCACCGUCAACAUUCUGGGAGAUACAGAAGCUCAGCUGGACAAGCCAUAUAAAUACUGUGGCUACAAGAGCACGUCAGGGACUAGUCACCCACAGUGAAUAUCCAAAGCUUUGGCCUGACUACGGCUGAAGUCCUGGCCACCACUGUUGGAGUGAUUGAAAUCAGGGAUUCACCAGAGGCUGCAACUGGAGCAGCACAAAUACUCUGCAGACUUGCAAGUUGGAGUCCAAGAGAAAUAAUUACAUGUUUGGUGCUUUGUGUAUCUGACACUGUGCCUGUGAUGCUGCUGCAAGUAAGUUUCUCAUUGCACGUGUACUUGUGCAGAUGACAGUAAAUUUGAAUUUGACAUGUGUAGUGUUUGCAGGCCAUUUCCACAGAAGCCAUCUUUUACACAGUGAAAUCUGCCUUUCAGUGGCUUAAAGAGGGGCUAUCUGAGCCAAUCUCUGGCAGGUGCUAGUAAUUCAAAUCAGGUAAGUCUGGAUAAUAACCUGAUUGGUCUUUGGACCCUUUUUCCCUGCACCACCACAUACCACUAUUGCCCAGCUACCUCCCCCAUCAGUUUCCUGAUUUCAACUGUCCAACACCACUACUCAGACUAUGCCUCACAAGCACACACUACCCUUCCCCCCCCCAACUCUUCAACUACCAAUCAGCUCCUCAGCUACCAAGCCUACUGACCACUACCCAGCUACCAAUUUACCCCCUUCUACAAUUUCUGGUAGCUGACCCUCAGCCUAACUCCCAACCCCACUUACCAAAGCUGCUCAGAUUAACAACCCCUUGUUCCUACUCCUGCCUUUGGCCUUAUGCUACUGAACUUGCCAAAAGCCCAUCACGAACCAUCAAACUACUACGUCUUUAGAGUGGUAGCCAAUUUCAGACAAUUACUUGGUAAUAACCUAUUGCUGUGUGGACGUAAGAACAUAAAUAUAAAGAACAGAAGCAGAAGUAGGUGAGUUAGUUUCUUGUGCAUGCUCCACCAUUCAAUAAGAUCAUGUGUGAUCUGCUAGCUCAGUGUUACAGUCCUGUUCUAACCCAUGGCCUGUGAUUCUCUUAACAUUCAGAAAUCUGUUGAACUUUGCUUUGAAUAUACAUGACAUCAGCCUCCAAAGCCUUGUUGGAAGAGAAUUCUAAAGAUUCACUACCUGGGUGAAAAAAUCUCUUCUCCCCUGAGUCCUGAAUGGCUGCCCCCUUAUGUUGUCAGUGACCCCUAGUUCUGGACUCCCCAGCCAGAGGAACAAUCAGCUUCACAUCUACCCUGUCAAACUUCUUUCAAGAAUUUGCAAAGGGAUGGAUGGCUGUCAAUCAAAACAAUGAAAGGGACAGUUGGAGGUUUGGUUACUUGGAUAUCAUCCUGUAAACAUAUCUUAAAUUGCCAUUUUUGAUGGUAAGUAAGUCUGAAUAAAGUUCAUGGACUGCCUCCUUUUUUACUUCUGUUUGAAGGGUCUCGACCCAAAAUGUCGACUGUUUAUUUCUCUCCAUAGAUGCUGCCUGACCUGCUGAGUUCCUCUAGCAUUUUGUGGGUGUUGCUCCAGAUUUCAGCAUCUGCAGAAUCUCUGUGUCUUGUCUUAUCGCUUCUUGUCAUCUCAUUUUUCUUGUUUCUCUCCUCCACAAUUCCUUUUUUUCUCCCUAUAACACUGAUGAAGAGCAGUGCAGUGGAAAUGCGGCAGCCUCACAAACACCUUGAGAAAAGCUGCGGAAAAGACUCUGGAAAAAUAAUACAAAAUAAUAAAGCAUUGAAAGGAUUGGGUAGUUCCUUUGUCCGCCAGUAUUGGUGAUAAUUGUGAUAAUGAUAAAAUAUUAUUAUAAAAAAUACUAAAAUUAUAAAUGUGACAACUGCCACUAUACUGCUGUGAACAGCAAACACUGAUUUUCAUGCAUUUUUUUAAUGUAACUAUCCUCCACUUACUGCAUUUUGUUCUGGAGGAAUUGCGUGUUUGUAUUGCUGUAGUUUCUGUUUCCACCAUUCUUUCAACCUCCAUAUCAUUUUCUAAUGAAUAACUAGCUGCGGGACAUACACAGAAACCUAGUCAGUUUCCAAACUAACAUACACAAACUUAACCUCUGUUGACCAUACAGACAGCACACAUUUUGAUCUGAGGUAUCAUACAUAGUUUGGGAAACAAGUACAGUUUGAGGAAUGAGUCUUUGAAGACAUCCUCCAUUCCUCCAUUCCUCCACCUGUGUCCCCAACACACAUACACCCAGGACCAAUAAUCUGCAACUUUCCAGCUUCAGGCUGCUUGACUAAUAACAUAAGAACACUGGUUUCAAUGGAUAUCUAUAGCCAAGCAGGAAGAAUGCUGAUAUUGAAUGGCUCCCAUCAGAUUCCAUUAGUGAAUAAUGCUGAUUUGUCAUCAUCAACAGUGCCCUGGAGUAUUGUAAACCUAUAUGACUCUGAUCUCUGAUUUACUGACCCUGAUACAGAGUUGAACUGGCUCUGACUUCCAUCACAACCCAUUACUGACAUAAACAUCUUAGGAAUUGAGUUGCUUAAUGGCAUAACCCAGGGACAUAGUCAUGGUAUCCCCUGGUGUUACUACAACACAGGAGCUCAUUCUGCCCAUCAGCUUAAUGCUGGCUCCCAGCAGAGAAAUCCUAUCAGUUCUGUUUCCCCUCUUCUUAAUCCCUGUAGGUCUUUGUUUUACUCUUUCCCACAUCAACAUCAAUUCCCCUUUGAUUCUUUUCCCACUUACUUGCACCAGGGACAAUUGGCAGUGACUAAUUAAUUUACCAAACACAUCUUUGGUAUGUGGGAAGAAACUAGACCACCUGGAGGAAACCUAAGUGGUUACAGGGAAAAUGUGCAAACUCCACACUGACAGCACCGGAGGUCAGGAUCAAACCCGAGUUGCUGGAAUUGUGAGACAGCGGCAUGAACUGCUGUGAUUUGAUCUAGAUGUUCUCUUUCAUGUACUUAUUUGUCAGUGGGCCAGAUACUUGUUCAAGGAAGGUUCAGUAUGAAUUGCGAAGCUGCUUUAAAUGAGUUAAUGUACAGAAUAGUUGAUUUAAUCAAAUUUACUCAGUUCAAUUGUUCUAAGUUCUUGUUAUCCAAAUCAUUUAUUUCUCAUAGUUCUUUAUGACAUAGAAGGGGGUCGUUUGGC